rnacentral:misc_RNA from 1 species
GAUGAAGAACGUAGCGAAAUGCGAUAAGUAAUGUGAAUCGCAGAAUUCAGUGAAUCAUCGAAUCUUUGAACGCACAUUGCGCCCGCCAGUAUUCUGGCGGGCAUGCCUGUUCGAGCGUCAUUUCAACCAUCAAGCCCCCGGCUUGUGUUGGGGACCUGCGGCUGCCGCAGGCCCUGAAAACCAGUGGCGGGCUCGCUGUCACACCGAGCGUAGUAGAUUUUCAUCUCGCUCAGGGCGUGCUGCGGGUUCCGGCCGUAAAAAGCCUUAUUUACCCAAGGUUGACCUCGGAUCAGGUAGGAAGACCCGCUGAACUUAAGCAUAUCAAUAAGCGGAGGA